GCGGAUAUGGCGGAAUUGGCAGACGCGCUAGCUUCAGGUGCUAGUCUUCGCAAGGAGGUGGAGGUUCAAGUCCUCUUAUCCGCACCA
rnacentral:tRNA from 1 species